GUGCCAGCAGCCGCGGUAAUACGUAGGGGGCAAACGUUGUCCGGAUUUACUGGGUGUAAAGGGUGCUCAGGCGGUCUUGUAAGUUAGAAGUGAAAUCCUAGGGCUCAACUCUGGAACUGCUUUUAAUACUGCAAGGCUUGAAUAUGGAAGAGGAGGGUGGAAUUUCUGGUGUAGCAGUGAAAUGCGUAGAUAUCAGAAAGAACACCAGUGGCGAAGGCGGCCCUCUGGUCCAUUAUUGACGCUAAAGCACGAAAGCGUGGGGAGCAAACAGGAUUAGAAACCCCCGUAGUCC
rnacentral:rRNA from 1 species